UACCACUCAGCACAGCUGAAGCACAUUAUCAGGAAAAAAAGCAGUAGUGACCAAACUUUUCUACCCACUGAAAUCAUCUAAGGAUCUUUAAAGUAUACUGAUGCCUAGAUUCUACCACUCAGCACAGCUGAAGCACAUUAUCAGGAAAAAAAGCAGUAGUGACCAAACUUUUCUACCCACUGAAAUCAUCUAAGGAUCUUUAAAGGAUACUGAUGCCUAGAGUCUACCACUCAGCACUCUGACUUAUUUGGCCUUCAGUGAAACCUGGGCAUUCAAAUUUUGUAAGGACAUUCCCCACCUCCAGGUGAUUCUAAUCGGCAGGGAAGUUUGGGUAGAACCAAUUUAAGGCAAGAGAAAUUACUGAAUUGCAUCCCUGGUAAGAGACAUCAGGUUGCGGAUGAGACUUGAACUGGGUUUUGAAAGACGGUAAGAAUUGGCGUAAUAAGAAAUAAAAGGGGCCAACAUUACUGUCAAGAGAUGAUACUACAUAAGUUCUAAGGCAAAAAUUAGCACAACUAGUAAAGAAAAUCAACUAGAAAAUGUCUUGCUGAGACUAGUAGAAAUAAGGCUUUAAAGAUAAAGUACAUCCAUAUUACAGUGAAUUACCCAGUCAAACAAAUUUUUUUGAACUUGACCCAGUGGGCAACCAUUAUAGGUUUUUUUAGUGGAGGACUAAAAUGAUAAAAGCAAUGUUUAAGGAAAAGAACUCCAUUAACAAUAUAGAAGAUGGAUUCAAAUUGCAAGAGACUGGAGUCAAGGAGGUCUGAAAAGAGACCUUUUCGCUUGCUUGCUCCUCCACCACCGUCCCCUCCCCCUAACAAUGCAAAUCUCCCUGGAAAAGAAGAAAGGCAGGAACGAGAUGGCUUAGAUGCUUAUAGUAAGUACUUUGAACACAGUCUCUGUCUCCUCCACAUCCCUAAAGCUUACGAAUCAAAAAGAGCCAGAAGAAUGUACCACCCUCCCUUAUCCCUAGAGAUUCAAGGAUAGAGUGAUGAAUGGACUCCUUUCUGCCCACCACAUGGCAUUGAGGU
rnacentral:lncRNA from 13 species